rfam:Pan troglodytes isolate Yerkes chimp pedigree #C0471 (Clint) chromosome 1, whole genome shotgun sequence.
GCCGGGCACGGUGGCUCAUGCCUGUAAUCCCAGCACUUUGGGAGGCUGAGGUGGGGGGAUCACCUGAGGUCAGGAGUUCAAGACCAGCCUGACCAACAUGGAGAAACCCUGUCUCUA